AUCGUAUUUUUGGCGAUUGUACCGGUGUGGUGGUUUCAGGAGUUUUGCAAACACGUGACUGGAAGUCAAUUAAUCGGACAGGUGAGUAGGACGAUUGUAGCAUUUCAAUUACACCAAUAUGUUAGGAAUAUAAAUAUUUAGUUCAACUAGGGUUAUUGAACGAUUAUAACGUUACUGUAAUUCAAUACAUGCAAUUCAAUAAUUACCAAUACUAUAUGAUUUAAAACACUCUAUUGACGAGUUGCUAUGCUGCGUUGCUAUAGAUCAUUGAUUGAUUAUAUAAAAGUGCACAAGAUGAAUUGGGAUUUUAUUGUAUAACUAUCUGAUAUAAUGCAAACUAAUCUUUCUACUGUUUAGUCUAAUAUUUAUAACUUCUUAAACAAGCAAGGAGCCUGUAUAUCAGUGGUUGUUGUUUGUUUAUGUGUUACAUAUUUGUUUUCCGUUCAUUUUUUUUUAUAUAAAUAAGGCCGUUUGUUUUCUUGUUUGUAUUGUUUUACAUUGUCAUUUUGGGGCCUCCUUUUACAGCUGACUAUGCGGCAUGGGCUUUGUUCAUUGUUUAAGGCCGUACGAUGACCUAUAGUUGUUAAUUUCUGUGUCAUUCAGUCUCUUGUGGACAGUUGUCUAAUUGGCAAUCAUGCCACAUCUUCUUUUUAUAUCUAUUAUAGGGAUACACACGGAAUUAAAGAGGUACAUUUGAAAACUCCGAUUGUAAGUAUCUAAAUUUGACUUUUCUACUGUUGUGAAGAUUAUAUUAACUAUCAAUAGAAUUUCAUAUUAAAUGAAUAA
rnacentral:lncRNA from 1 species